rnacentral:rRNA from 1 species
UACGAAGGGGGCUAGCGUUGCUCGGAAUCACUGGACGUAAAGCGCACGUAGGCGGACUCUUAAGUCAGGGGUGAAAUCCUGGAGCUCAACUCCAGAACUGCCUUUGAUACUGGGAGUCUUGAGUUCGGGAGAGGUGAGUGGAACUGCGAGUGUAGAGGUGAAAUUCGUAGAUAUUCGCAAGAACACCAGUGGCGAAGGCGGACUCACUGGCCCGGUACUGACGCUGAGGUGCGAAAGCGUGGGGAGCA